rnacentral:rRNA from 1 species
ACUUCCUACGGGAGGCAGCAGUGGGGAAUAUUGCACAAUGGGCGCAAGCCUGAUGCAGCCAUGCCGCGUGUAUGAAGAAGGCCUUCGGGUUGUAAAGUACUUUCAGCAGUGAGGAAGGCGGAGUCGUUAAUAGCGGCCUCGUUUGACGUUAGCUGCAGAAGAAGCACCGGCUAACUCCGUGCCAGCAGCCGCGGUAAUACGGAGGGUGCGAGCGUUAAUCGGAAUUACUGGGCGUAAAGCGCAUGCAGGUGGUUUGUUAAGUCAGAUGUGAAAGCCCGGGGCUCAACCUCGGAAUUGCAUUUGAAACUGGCAGACUAGAGUACUGUAGAGGGGGGUAGAAUUUCAGGUGUAGCGGUGAAAUGCGUAGAGAUCUGAAGGAAUACCGGUGGCGAAGGCGGCCCCCUGGACAGAUACUGACACUCAGAUGCGAAAGCGUGGGGAGCAAACA